rnacentral:lncRNA from 1 species
CAGAGGAGUACAUUCAGCUCCGAGAUGAGAUUGAGGAGCUCAUCAGAUGAGGUCAGCUCGACAGAUUCAUUCGAUGCUGGCUUGAAGGUAGGUAAGAUCGGCUGAGGGCCUUGCCACAACCGGAGCCACCAAGGAGGGAGGAGCAGCCUGAAGAUUGGCCUCCAAUUGGGAUCAUCAACUCCAUCUCUAGAGGAUCCCAACAGGGAGC